GUCCGCAGCCCAUGUGAGGAGUCUGAUUACCAGGGGAACCUGGAAGAGACUUUGCCCCCGUGGUGAUUAAAGGAAUCAGGCCCAGUGUGCCUUGGGAAGCAGUUCUUCCAGUUGAGAGCCAGUUCACUCAGUGUGAAAUGGAAGGAGGAUUAUCCCUAGCCUCAUAUGCAGUGCUUAGGGGUCUUGGGCUCUGUGCUUGAUUGCAAGAACCCAGGGGGCCUGGCAGUUAAGCAGCAUGAAAGGAAUUCCAAGGCCUCAUUUCCCCCUCUUUACUGAGGCAAUCUUGGCUGAGCCCCAACCCUGGGGAUGCCCUCAGGACCCAGACAGAGCUCCGGGUGACCAGUCUUCUCAUCCUGACAGCCAGUGAAGUGUUUCUAGCUUUGCAUCACCCCCGCCACUUGUGCCUUGUCUUCCUGGCCUCUGUCUUCCAUUUGAUUUUCUUAAGGAGCAAGCAGGACCAAACAAUUCCUGGUGGUGGCUGUGUCUGCUGAGAAUUAAUGCCAUUUUGUCUUAGAGACUAGAGAAGGAGAGAACGACAGACCCUGGGGAAUUGUCCUCGUGGAAAAGAUGGACAAACAGAGAUUGAAAAUACAGUGUUCUGGCUGGGCGUGAUGGCUCAUACCUGUAAUCCUCACACUUUGAGAAGCCAAGGUCACCGUGAAAAAAUCAGCAAAUGUCUCUUCAACAAUUGGGAAUUACUUCUCUUAAGGAAAAAAAUUUCAAAAUUUGGAAAUAAAGCAAGAAAAAAGAGUACAUGCCUUUAAUAAACUUUACUUUUAAUUGACACAUCAUAAUUGUAUUUAUGAGCUUUCCAUG
ensembl:lncRNA